AUUGAACGCUGGCGGCAGGCCUAACACAUGCAAGUCGAGCGCGCGGCGGACGGGUGAGUAAUGUCUGGGAAACUGCCUGAUGGAGGGGGAUAACUCCUGGAAACGGUAUCUCAUACCGCAUACCAUCAGAUGUGCCCAGAUGGGAUUAGCUAGUGGGUGGUGUAACGGCUCACCUAGGCGCCGCUCCCUAUCUGGUCUGAGAGGAUGACCAGCCACACUGGAACUGAGACACGGUCCAGACUCCUACGGGAGGCAGCAGUGGGGAAUAUUGCACAAUGGGCGCAAGCCUGAUGCAGCCAUGCCGCGUGUGUGAAGAAGGCCUUCGGGUUGUAAAGCACUUUCAGCGGGGAGGCGUUACCCGCAGAAGAAGCACCGGCUAACUCCGUGCCAGCAGCCGCGGUAAUUC
rnacentral:rRNA from 1 species